rnacentral:ncRNA from 1 species
AUGAGUAACGAGAAAUCCUGUGAAAAACACAAUCGCCUGCCAGUGGAAGGCUUUCUGCAUUCAGUUAAUCUACGCAGAGUGAAUCGGUCCCUAAGGAACCCCCGAAAGGGCUGCCGUCCGAUGGGUACACGAAAGUGACAAAGUUGCUUUGACUACUGAACCAUGCCUAGAUCGUCGGAGCGAAUUGGAUGAUCGGGCCGAGGGCUGCCCCCUCUUCCCCUCGCUCUCCUUUCCUUAAUAUUCACCGUCGAGUCAUCAAAGCCGUAAACUAAUUCAGAGGGGCUCGGCUGGCCCGGUCGCCCUACGCUACUGGCGCUUCCAAAGGCGAAGCUCUCGUCUUUGGCGACCAGCAAACGGAGGGCUAAAACCUAUAGUUUUGAAGCAAGGGAUGAGCGCGAAAGCCGUUGCGCUUCCGUACACAUGCAUACAUUUUCUUGCUGGGGCGGACACGGUUUCUCUCUAAAGGCGAAGAAAAAGAAGUGGGCGAACACUCGGCCCAGCGGGCGAACAUGCCGGCUCCAGCUCCGCGCACCUGCUCACACCUUUCGAAGCACUUUCACGUGUGAACCGAAGUCGUCUUGCCGAACUCCUUCCUUUCUCAUUUCAGUCCUCGCCUUUUUCAUCUUCCGUAGGGGCCUUUAGUCUUUUGAUUAGAGUGGAGGUCGCGAGAGAGCAGAGCGUACCGCCCUGCCAUAGUCGCGAGGAUCUUAAUACUCGGUCACGACUGUUGUCAUAGUCAAUGACGGUUGAAACUUCCAGGAAAAAACUUCGAAUUGGGAGGGCGAUCCUCCCGGUGAACUGACCGUACCCCAAACCGGCACAGGUGAACAAGUAGAGUAUACUAGGGCGCGUCGAGAGAACCAUGUCGAAGGAACUCGGCAAAAUGACCCCGUAACUUCGGGAGAAGGGGUGCUCUCCUAUCUUUUGAUUAGGAAAGUGGCACAUACCAGGGGGUAGCGGCUGUUUAUUAAAAACACAGGACUCUGCUAAGUGGUAACACGAUGUAUAGAGUCUGACACCUGCCCAGUGCUGGAAGGUCAGAAGGAGAAGUGUGAUAAGCUUUGAAUGGAAGCCCCAGUAAAUGGCGGCAGUAACUCUAACUGUCCUAAGGUAGCGAAAUUCCUUGUCGCAUAAGUAGUGACCUGCACGAAUGGUGUAACGACUGCCCCGCUGUCUCCGACAUGGACCCGGUGAAAUU